GUUAAUUUGGAAAUUAGAAAAAAUCCUUCCCAUCCCAAAUUUCAUUCCCCGCUUCUUUUUUUUCUAGCUGCUUCCUCUGAUUGCGCCCCAACACAAAAUUUCGUUCUCGAUUGCUUCAUCUGCUUGUUGCCCCAACACCGGCGUUUCUUCCCCAACACCGCCCACCCCAAAACACCACCGUGUCGUGGCUGUCAUAUCCCCCACCCGCGAAUCUCCCCCUGCGCAACACUCCUGUGUUUCUGGAAGCUGACUCGCUUACUGUUGGAAGCUCCUCUCCUUGCCGGCUCGCCUCAUCUCCUCUCUUCUCCUACGCGCACCGCCUACGUCGCUGGCCCUCCUCCCGCUGAACACCGAUGCUACUAUCCUGAUUCCCAUGCUAUCUUCUCUUUCAAAAAAUAAGGUUUUCCCCAUGGUUCCUCGGGUUGUUGGUCUUCCACUAGACAAAUUUCAGCAGGCAUUGGCUCACACAUUACAGGGAUCAGCUCACACUAGUCUAGAACUGACACCUACUGAAGUUUGGUGUCCAUCCAUGACAUUGUGCCAGAGAAGGACAAAAUUUCACUUAAAAAGGUAACAGAUGCUUGCACAACUUGUUUUGAGCAACGUACCGUGAUCACUCAACAUGUCUUGGAAAAAGCUUUGAAUCAGAUGGGCACGAGCCUGUACUUGAAUGUAUCUGUGGACGAAAUUCUGCUUCUUCCUAGCUACGAUCUUAAAGCCUAUCCGGUACCUGAGUCAAGCCAAGUAGUGGUUCAUAAAUGAACUGACCUACCAUAAUCUUCGAUACGACUCAACUUGGAGCUCGUGAGGAGUGUAGAGAUCGAAAUUAAUAGCCCCCGUUGAUAUUGCGAUACGAUUCAACUUGGAGCUCGUGAGGAGUGUAGAGAUCGAAAUUAAUAGCCCCCGUUGAUAUUGGCCAAUAUUCAUAAAAAAACCAAGGGAGCGUUCCUUCACGACUGAUGAAAUAAAAUGUGUUCGAGACAAGUUGGCACGAUUUAUUACUAAUGAAUGUCUUUGAUUGUUCGCGUUUUUAGCAUUAUAAUGAAUCUAAUACUGUAGUUAGCUACCUUUCUCCAUUAAUUAAUUUAGAUACAAUAUGUUUUUAACCCGUUGUUUGAUAUUUGUUUUGAUUUUUUUUUCCACUUGUGUUAUUGAAUGGUGUAUGGAUGAGCCAAGGGCAUGUUUAUUGGUGUGUAGUAUGUACGUUGUGGUUGAAUGAGGUUGUUUGGUGUAGGUACAGGUUUAUAGCUACAACAUAUUGUGCUAAA